UACGAAGGGGGCUAGCGUUGUUCGGAAUCACUGGGCGUAAAGCGCACGCAGGCGGAUCGUUAAGUCAGGGGUGAAAUCCCGAGGCUCAACCUCGGAACUGCCUCUGAUACUGGCGAUCUUCGAGUCCGGGAGAGGUGAGUGGAACUCCGAGUGUAGAGGUGAAAUUCGUAGAUAUUCGGAAGAACACCAGUGGCGAAGGCGGCUCACUGGUCCGGUACUGACGCUCAGGUGCGAAAGCGUGGGGAGCAAACAGG
rnacentral:rRNA from 1 species